rnacentral:rRNA from 1 species
GACGAACGCUGGCGGCGUGCUUAACACAUGCAAGUCGAACGGAAAGGCCCUGCUUUUGUGGGGUGCUCGAGUGGCGAACGGGUGAGUAACACGUGAGUAACCUGCCCUUGACUUUGGGAUAACUUCAGGAAACUGGGGCUAUUACCGGAUAGGAGCUCCUGCUGCAUGGUGGGGGUUGGAAAGUUUCGGCGGUUGGGGAUGGACUCGCGGCUUAUCAGCUUGUUGGUGGGGUAGUGGCUUACCAAGGCUUUGACGGGUAGCCGGCCUGAGAGGGUGACCGGCCACAUUGGGACUGCGAUACGGCCCAGACUCCUACGGGAGGCAGCAGUGGGGAAGAUUGCACAAUGGGCGGAAGCCUGAUGCAGCAACGCAGCGUGCGGGAUGACGGCCUUCGGGUUGUAAACCGCUUUCGCCUGUGACGAAGCGUGAGUGACGGUAAUGGGUAAAGAAGCACCGGCUAACUACGUG